AAAUUUAACCAGGUGCAAGACCGUCUUGCAAAAUCCUCUUUCAAAACACAGAACUUCGAAGCUCCAUAGUCCUGAUAAUCUCUUAGCACUUGGAGAAAUGUGGUAAAGCCGAAACAGUGGGGAGAGAAGUAGUCCAGAUGGCCACUGUGUACUUGCCUCCCGAAAAACAGAGCCCCUUUUGAAGCAAAGGACCCUAGUAGGUAAGAGGGAGGCUCAUCUGCAGUUCUAUCCAAGUGCCAAAGAAUGAAGGCUUCCAUUACAUAUACAUAUAAAAGAAUAAAUCACACAAACUCACUGAUACUCACAGAAAACCUCACUGGCACACACACCAACUUACUGCAGACAAGCAUCCUAACACACACAAGUUGAGUACUGAAACACUCAGAAGCUCUCUAACUCACACGGGCUCACUGACACAUACACAAAAGCUCAAUACAGACAAGCCCACUGACACACAUGCAAGAUAACUACAGACUAGCUCACCAACCACACAAGCACUCUGACAUACAUGUAAACUUACUACAGACAAACUCAUAAUACAAUACAAACAAGCUCACUACAGACACGCUCACUGACACACAUAAGCUCACUACACACAAGCUCAUUACAGACAAGCUCACUCACACAAACACAGAAGCUCACUAAAGACAAGCUCACAUACAAGCUCACUACAGGCAAACCUAUUGAUACACACAAGCUCCCUGACACACAGGCUUACCACAGACAAACUCAUUGUUAAACACAUACAAGUUCAUUACAGACAAGAUCACUGAUACAAACACAUACAAGCUCACAACAUAAAACAUCACUGACACUUACAAGCUCGUUACAGGCAAGCUCAGUGACACGUACACAAACUCAUUACAGACAAGCUGUCAUGAUUUCCAAUACAUGAUCUCCAAUCGGCGAUCACCUGCAGUCACUUCCGGGUUUUCGCCCACAGAUAGGGAGGGGUCAAAACAGCGUCAGCAUACCUGAACGCCAGGGUUAGCAAGCUGCCAAUGUUACAUGCAGUUUGGAUAUGUAUUAUUUCUAAUACAGGUUUGUAUAAGCAGGUUGCUUUUGCCUCUAUGAGAAAGUGGUGACCUGACCCUGGUGACUUAAAACCUCUCAUCCUUAUGCUAAAAUAUACACACAAAAUAAAAACCACACACAAACAUAUGUAACACAUAUUAGACAAAGGUUGCUCUGUCAAUUGAUGCAUUCAUAUUUGGUUACAUUUGCAGCAGCAUGGGGAAUCUGUUUGGUAUUCAUAAUCAUGUCAUUUAAUAAACAAAACAAAAAAACUGUGAAAGCAUUCUUAUUUGUCUGCCACAAAUUAAAGCUGAUCUGUCACAUUUCUGAUGAGACAUUUUGUGUUUAGCACAUAAAAACAGCUACUACUUUUGUUACCUUUAUUUUAUUUUAAAGCGGCACUGUCACAGCUGCAUCUGUUUUUUUUAACCUCUUCCCGACUCCUCUACAUUAUAAAGACUCCUCUGUGUUAUAUAUUAGCCAGUCCCUUUGUUUUUCCACCACCAGGUGCUUCUGUGUGUCUCUUACAUCCCCAGCCCCAUCUGUUUGUCUUUCUACCCCCUCGUGUCCCUCUGUGUGUUUUUCUCCCCACUCAGGCCCCCAUGUGUGCCACUCUCCCCUCCAUGUCCCUUAGUGUUCCUCUCCCCUCCAUGUCCCUUAGUGUUACUCUCCCCAAACUUGCUUGUCCCUUAGUGUCCCCUUAGUGGUCCUCUCCCUUCCUGUAUCUUAGUGGUCCCCCCACCCCAUUUCCCUUAGUGUUCCUCCCCCUUAGUGUUUAUCUCCCCUUAGUGUCCCGUCCCCCUUAGUGGUCCUCUCCCUUCCUGUAUCUUAGUGGUCCCCCCACCCCAUUUCCUUAGUGUUCCUCCCUUAGUGUUUAUCUCCCCGGGUCCUCUCUCCCUCCCUCCCUCCCCUGCCGGCUGCCCGCAUGGUGCCAGCGGACAGGGGAGGGAGAUCUCUGAUCUCCCCUCUGGUUCAUGAAGGCACAUUGCAGGGCCGGCGUUUGGACAGUAAUUAAUAUUUUUUUUUGUUCUUUAAUAUUUAUUAAUUUAAUAAACCCCCUAUACAAACACUCCACCCUUAUACACACAUUAUACAGGAAUGAGCAGGUGUGGCCAGGAAGGGGCGCUGUGAACAUUUUUCGCACAGGUCGCCUAAAAGCCUUAAGGCUGGCUUAAUAUAGUAUAGAUUAUAUUUUUAAUUUAAAAAAAGUAAUCCAGAGUAAUUGUUUUGAACACAUGACUACAGCAUUUGUAUGUUUUUGAAUAUGCAUAUUUUGUAAUUCCGGUCUUGUUGACACAUAUCGCAUCACCUGUCUUUUUAGAUUGAUGUAAAAAAAAUAAUUAAUUUAAAAAAAAAAAAAAGCACAUUUAAACCAAGACUCACAACAUGUCUUCAUCAUAAAUUCUACAGAACGUGUCAAGGUCAUACCACCUAGAUACAUGCCACAUGCACCGCAGGCGACAUAAGCUCCUGAG